rnacentral:rRNA from 1 species
GCAGUCGAGCGCCCUUUAGGGGGAGCGGCAGACGGGUGAGUAACGCGUGGGAAUCUACCUUUUGCUACGGAAUAACGCAGGGAAACUUGUGCUAAUACCGUAUGUGUCCUUCGGGAGAAAGAUUUAUCGGCAAGAGAUGAGCCCGCGUUGGAUUAGCUAGUUGGUGGGGUAAAGGCCUACCAAGGCGACGAUCCAUAGCUGGUCUGAGAGGAUGAUCAGCCACAUUGGGACUGAGACACGGCCCAAACUCCUACGGGAGGCAGCAGUGGGGAAUAUUGGACAAUGGGCGCAAGCCUGAUCCAGCCAUGCCGCGUGAGUGAUGAAGGCCCUAGGGUUGUAAAGCUCUUUCACCGGAGAAGAUAAUGACGGUAUCCGGAGAAGAAGCCCCGGCUAACUUCGUGCCAGCAGCCGCGGUAAUACGAAGGGGGCUAGCGUUGUUCGGAAUUACUGGGCGUAAAGCGCACG